rnacentral:tRNA from 1 species
GCCGCUAUCGUCUAGUCCGGUCUAGGACGCCUGGUUCUCAUCCAGGUAACCCGGGUUCGAAUCCCGGUAGCGGCA